UAUAUUAAAUUUAGUAAAGUUGAUAAAUUUUUUAAAAAAAAUUAAUUUUAUUUUGUUAAUUAGCUAAAGAAUAAUAUUUAUAAAUAAUUUUUUGUUUUUAAAUAAAUAGAUAUAUUUAAUAAUUAGAUUUAAUUUAUAAUUAAGGUUAUAAUUAGAUAUUUUUAAUAAUUAGUGGUAAAUUUAGUGCCAGCAACAGCGGUUAAACUAAGGUUAAAAGUUAAUUUAUUUGAUAAUAAUAAUAUAUGUAUAUUAAAUUUUAAUUAUAAAAAUAUAAUUUUUUAUGGUGAAAUAUUAAUAAUAUAAUAUUUGUAAUUUUUAUUAUUAUUUAGUUAAUAAGAUUAUUUAUUAAACUAGGAUUAGAUACCCUAUUAUAAUAAUUAUAUUUUUUAAUAUUUAAAGAUUAAAUGUUAAAUCAUUAAAUUUAUAAGAUUUGGCGGUAUUUUAUUCAAUUUAGGGGAACUUGUUUGUUAAUUGAUAAUCCACGAUAAGAUAUACUUAAUUUAAUAUUUGUGUAUUGCUGUUUAUAGAUUUAUAUUAAGUAUAUUUUAAAAUUUAUAAUUAUAAAAAAAUUCAAGUCAAAAUAUAGUAUAAUUAAGAUAUAAUGAGUUACAAUAAAUUAAAUUUAUAUGGAUUUUAAGAUUUAAUUUUUAAAUGAAAGUGGAUUUAACAGUAAAUUUAAUAAAUUAAUUAAGUUGAAAUUUGUUUUAAAAUAUGUACAAAUUGCCCGUCACUUUCAAUGAAAUGAAAUAAGUCGUAACAAAGUUUAGGUACCGGAAGGUGUUUAUUGA
rnacentral:ncRNA from 1 species